rnacentral:sRNA from 1 species
CAUCUUCAAUCUGUUGUGGGCAGAUGAAAUGGAUAUGCGCAUCAAAGCCCCCCGCGGUCAGGAUUUUUCCUUCUCCCGCAAUGGCUUCGGUGCCCGGUCCGAUGAUUAUAUCAACGCCCGAUUGCGUAUCCGGGUUGCCCGCCUUGCCAAUCGCCGCGAUCAUCCCGUCGCGCAGCCCCACGUCAGCCUUGUAAAUCCCGGUAUGAUCCACGAUCAGCGCGUUGGUAAUCACGGUAUCCACCGCGCCGCCCGCCCGCGAGAUCUGGCUUUGUCCCAUCCCGUCACGAAUG